UUGCGGCCAUAUCACGUUGAAACAUCGGUUCUCGUCCGAUCACCCAAGUUAAGCAACGUCGAGACUGGUUAGUACCUAGAUGGGUGACUGCUUAGGAAUACCAGGUGCUGAAAG
rnacentral:rRNA from 1 species